rnacentral:rRNA from 1 species
UACGUAGGGUGCGAGCGUUGUCCGGAAUUACUGGGCGUAAAGAGCUCGUAGGUGGUUUGUCGCGUUGUUCGUGAAAACUCACAGCUUAACUGUGGGCGUGCGGGCGAUACGGGCAGACUGGAGUGCUGCAGGGGAGACUGGAAUUCCUGGUGUAGCGGUGAAAUGCGCAGAUAUCGGGAGGAACACCGGUGGCGAAGGCGGUUCCCUGGGCCUUACCUGACGCUGAGGAGCGAAAGCGUGGGGAGCGAACAGG